rnacentral:rRNA from 1 species
GAUGAACGCUAGCUACAGGCUUAACACAUGCAAGUCGAGGGGUAACGAGAGGAAAGCUUGCUUUCCUUGUCGACGACCGGCGCACGGGUGAGUAACGCGUAUCCAACCUGCCCCCAACUAGGGAAUAACCUUGCGAAAGUAAGACUAAUACCCUAUAAUUUCCUCAGAUGUCAUCUGACGAGGAAUAAAGAUUUAUCGGUUGUGGAUGGGGAUGCGUCUGAUUAGCUUGUUGGCGGGGUAACGGCCCACCAAGGCAACGAUCAGUAGGGGUUCUGAGGGGAAGGUCCCCCACAUUGGAGCUUAGACACGGUCCAAACUCCUACGGGAGGAAGCAGUGAGGAAUAUUGGUCAAUGGGCGGAAGCCUGAACCAGCCAAGUAGCGUGCAGGAUGACGGCCCUAUGGGUUGUAAACUGCUUUUAUACAGGAAUAAAGUUAGCCACGUGUGGUUAUUUGUAGGUACUGUAUGAAUAAGGACCGGCUAAUUCCGUGCCAGCAGCCGCCGCCG